rnacentral:tRNA from 1 species
UCCCUGGUGGCUCAGAGGUUAAAGCAUCUGCCUGCAACAGGGGAGACCUGGGUUCAAUCCCUGGCUUGGGAA